rnacentral:rRNA from 1 species
ACUCCUACGGGAGGCAGCAGUGGGGAAUAUUGCACAAUGGGGGAAACCCUGAUGCAGCCAUGCCGCGUGUGUGAAGAAGGCCUUGGGUUGUAAAGCACUUUCAGUAGGGAGGAAGGUAGUGUAGUUAACACCUGCAUUAUUUGACGUUACCUACAGAAGAAGCACCGGCUAACUCCGUGCCAGCAGCCGCGGUAAUACGGAGGGUGCGAGCGUUAAUCGGAAUUACUGGGCGUAAAGCGCAUGCAGGCGGCCUGUUAAGUCAGAUGUGAAAGCCCGGGGCUUAACCUCGGAAUUGCAUUUGAAACUGGCAGGCUAGAGUCUUGUAGAGGGGGUAGAAUUUCAGGUGUAGCGGUGAAAUGCGUAGAG